CCAAGAACAGAGAAAUGAAGCAGGGACCACUUGUUACAGCCUGCUCUGCCAAUAUAGAGAUUUUACACUACAAGCUAUUAUGAUGUCAUCUUAAUUUCCUGAGAUGCAGCGAAAAAGACCAAGCAGUGGAAGUUGUCAUGGCCAAACUCUCAAACAUCUGGUAUCUCUGAAAAGCCCAGGGAGCCCUCUGAUAAUUCCCCAAGAUUUACCACUGUAGCAUGUAUGGUCUAAGAAAAAUUUUAAUAAAAAAUGUCUUGC